ensembl:rRNA 5S_rRNA 5S ribosomal RNA
GUCCAUGGGCCUACCACUGUGAACACGCCUGAUCUCAUCUGAUCCCAGAAGUUAACCAGGGUCAGGCCUGGCUAGUACUCGGAUGAGAAGCCAGCAGGGAAUACCACGUGCUGUAAGCU